rnacentral:rRNA from 1 species
GAUGAACGCUGGCGGCGUGCCUAAUACAUGCAAGUCGAACGGAAAGGCGCUGCUUUUGUUGGGUGCUCGAUUGGCGAACGGGUGAGUAACACGCGUGUAAACUCCCCUUGUCUUUGGGAUAACUUCACGAAACUGGGGCUAAUACCGGAUAGGAGCUCCUGCUGCAUGGUGGGGGUUGGAAAGUGUCGGCGGUUGGGGAUGGUUUCGAGGCUUAUGAGCUGGUUUGUGGGGUAGUGGCGUACCAAGGCUUUGACGGCUAGCCCGCCUGGGCGGGUGACCGGCCACAUUGGGACUGAGAUAGGGCCCAGACUCCAACGGGAGGCAGCAGGGGGGAAUAUUGCGGAGUGGGCGGACGCGUGAUGCGGCGACGCCGCGUGCGGGAUAACGGCUUACGGGUUGUAAACCGCUUUCGAAUGUGACGUAGCGUGAGUGACGGUAAUGAGUAAGGAAGCAACGGCUAACUACGUG